GAUGAAGAACGUAGCGAAAUGCGAUACGUAAUGUGAAUUGCAGAUUUCAGUGAAUCAUCGAAUCUUUGAACGCACAUUGCGCCCGCCAGUAUUCUGGCGGGCAUGCCUGUUCGAGCGUCAUUUCAACCAUCAAGCCUUCGCUUGUGUUGGGGCCCCGCGGCUGCCGCGGUCCCCUAAAUCCAGUGGCGGGCUCGUCGUCGUACCGAGCGCAGUAGACAUCCUCGCUCCGGGAACCCGACGGGUGCCGGCCGUGAAACCCCCCACAUCAAGGUUGACCUCGGAUCAGGUAGGAAUACCCGCUGAACUUAAGCAUAACAAUAAGCGGAGGA
rnacentral:misc_RNA from 1 species